rnacentral:lncRNA from 1 species
AGCUAGACUGCUCACCAAAAUGGGAGGCAGCCUCUGCUGCUGUGGUGAAGGUGAAGACACACUCAGCGAUUCAGCUCUACAGUAUGCACUCUGGGAUCUCCCAUUUGCUAAGGAAGGAUCUUAGCUUUGAGAAAGUGGCAAGAGAUCCCCUCUUGAGGAGACUCCGCAGGAACACCAGAGAUGAUAGUGACACACAACAACUGAAGGCAGAGGUACAGGCUGAGGAGAAAGGUGUGUAUUCUGGGAGCACUCCUUUCUAAGGAAAGACCUUCAGUGUUGCAAAAUGUGGCACUUACUAGUCUGCUUUUGCUGGAGAGACACUUUGGUUUGAGCUUCCUGACAGAAAUGAGAUUUGGACAGUUUGGUAUAAAAAACACUGAGUCCAGUAAAGAACUGUGACCAUCCACUCGAGUCCGGGGAGGCAGGAUUGUCAUUUAGGUGGAAUAGUGUGCUGUGCAUCAGGGUGGGGAGGUACAGAGGACAGAGUCGUGUGGAGUGAUUGGGAGUGUCUUUGGGAGUUGUGUGGGCAUUUCCCCAGAAAGCAUGUU